rnacentral:tRNA from 2 species
GAUAAGAUGCCUGAAAAAGGAUUUCUUUGAUAGAGAAAAUAAUAUUGGACCUCCGCCAAUUCUUAUCU